CCUCCUUAAAAAAAAUCGUUUGUUAUAGGCGUUCACACGAAUUACUUAUUUGUCUUCUUCUUUAAUACAAAGAUGAAAGACGAGUUCUUUAAAAUUUUUAUAAGUUCAAUCAAGUCAUAUCAAAAACAUUUUUUGUUUGAGGAUAUGCAAAUUAACUACUCAUAUAAGGUUUAAAUUAUUCUUUUAAUCCGAAACCUUUAAUGAGUAACUGCAAAGUAAUUUGGCGUUAUAGUAGAUAGAAAUGCUUGAAAAUAUCAUUAAGUUAAUUGAUGUAAUAUGGUCAAGUAAUGAAGUGCAAACGGUGGAUGC
rnacentral:misc_RNA from 1 species